UACGUAGGUGGCAAGCGUUGUCCGGAUUUACUGGGCGUAAAGAGCGCGCAGGCGGUCGUUCAAGUCGCGUGUGAAAGCCCCGGCCUCAACUGGGGAGGGUCACGCGAUACUGAUCGACUCGAAGGCAGGAGAGGGUAGUGGAAUUCCCGGUGUAGUGGUGAAAUGCGUAGAUAUCGGGAGGAACACCAGUGGCGAAGGCGGGUUGCUGGGCUGACACUGACGCUGAUGCGCGAAAGCCAGGGGAGCGAACGGG
rnacentral:rRNA from 1 species